CCUACGGGAGGCAGCAGUGGGGAAUAUUGGACAAUGGGCGCAAGCCUGAUCCAGCCAUACCGCGUGGGUGAAGAAGGCCUUCGGGUUGUAAAGCCCUUUUGUUGGGAAAGAAAUCCAGCUGGUUAAUACCCGGUUGGGAUGACGGUACCCAAAGAAUAAGCACCGGCUAACUUCGUGCCAGCAGCCGCGGUAAUACGAAGGGUGCAAGCGUUACUCGGAAUUACUGGGCGUAAAGCGUGCGUAGGUGGUCGUUUAAGUCUGUUGUGAAAGCCCUGGGCUCAACCUGGGAACUGCAGUGGAAACUGGACGACUAGAGUGUGGUAGAGGGUAGCGGAAUUCCUGGUGUAGCAGUGAAAUGCGUAGAGAUCAGGAGGAACAUCCAUGGCGAAGGCAGCUACCUGGACCAACACUGACACUGAGGCACGAAAGCGUGGGGAGCAAACAGGAUUAGAUACCCUGGUAGUCCACGCCCUAAACGAUGCGAACUGGAUGUUGGGUGCAAUUUGGCACGCAGUAUCGAAGCUAACGCGUUAAGUUCGCCGCCUGGGGAGUACGGUCGCAAGACUGAAACUCAAAUGAAAUUGACGG
rnacentral:rRNA from 1 species